UCGAGCUUGGCUGGAUUUACUUAGAAAACAAUCCAUAAAUGAGGAAUUUUGACACUAAAGUUAACUGCAGAAGUUGCGGAAGUAGACAAGAAUCAUCCGACAUCUUUGAACCACGUAGAAAUCGAUAUUCCGGCUGUUUUUUUUUUUUGAGGAUUCUCUUCAGCGGGACUUCGAUCUUCAUCCAUCUGCUGCUGUGUGUCGAUGUCCAUCCAUGUCCAUAUCUCCAUCUCCAUCACACUGGAAUCGGCCAUCACCUCGGACCGUCUCGUCGGACAUUCAUCAUAAGGGGACGAUAUAUGUGUGCUGAUACACUGACGUGUAACAAGGGAACUGGAUCUCCACUAACAAUUCCGGAUGAAGGUGAACAGAAGAGGAGCUGGGAAUGGUGGGAUAUCCUUGGCAGUCAUCCUUGCUGCUGUUGUUGUUUUUUUGUUAGUUUUUUUGUUUUGCAAACAUUGAUCAGUGAAAAUGAGAGUCGCAACGUAACAAACUGAAAA
ensembl:lncRNA